UACGUAGGUGGCAAGCGUUGUCCGGAAUUAUUGGGCGUAAAGAGCGUGUAGGCGGUUUGGUAGGUCCGCUGUGAAAACUCGAGGCUCAACCUCGAGACGCCGGUGGAAACCAUCAGACUAGAGUCCGGAAGAGGAGAGUGGAAUUCCUGGUGUAGCGGUGAAAUGCGCAGAUAUCAGGAAGAACACCCGUGGCUAAGGCGGCUCUCUAGUACGGUACUGACGCUGAGACGCGAAAGCGUGGGGAGCGAACAGG
rnacentral:rRNA from 1 species